rnacentral:rRNA from 1 species
GACGAACGCUGGCGGCGCGCCUAACACAUGCAAGUCGAACGGAGCUACUUUUUCUGAAGUUUUCGGAUGGACGAAGAAUUAGCUUAGUGGCGAACGGGUGAGUAACGCGUGGGUAACCUGCCUUUUUGUGGGGAACAACUUCGAGAAAUUGAAGCUAAUACCGCAUACUCUUCUUUUAUCGCAUGAUGAGAGAAGGAAAGAUGGCCUCUGAAAAUGCUAUCGCAAAAGGAUGGACCCGCGUCUGAUUAGCUAGUUGGAAGGGUAACGGCCUACCAAGGCGACGAUCAGUAGCCGGCCUGAGAGGGUGAACGGCCACAUUGGGACUGAGACACGGUCCAAACUCCUACGGGAGGCAGCAGUGAGGAAUAUUGGUCAAUGGACGAGAGUCUGAACCAGCCAAGUAGCGUGAAGGAUGACUGCCCUAUGGGUUGUAAACUUCUUUUGUUUGGGAAUAAAGUGAGGGACGUGUCCCUUUUGUAUGUACCAUUCGAAUAAGCAUCGGCUAAUUCCGU